UCCCUAGUGGCUCAGAGGUUAAAGCGUCUGCCUGCAAUGCGGGAGACCUGGGUUCGAGCCCUGGAUCGGGAA
rnacentral:tRNA from 1 species